AUUCCAGCUCCAAUAGCGUAUAUUUAAGUUGUUGCAGUUAAAAAGCUCGUAGUUGGAUUUCGGUUAAGAGCGACCGGUCCGCCCCUCACGGGGUGUGCACCAGGUCUCUGCGUCCAUCCUCGGGGAGAGCGCGUCUGGCAUUCAGUUGUCGGGCGCGGGAUCCUCGUCAUUUACUGUGAGCAAAAUAGAGUGUUCAAAGCAGGCUUAGGCCGUUGAAUACAUUAGCAUGGAAUAAUAAGAUAGGACCUUGGUCUAUUUUGUUGGUUUGCAUUCCAAGGUAAUGAUUAAUAGGGAUAGUUGGGGGUAUUCGUAUUCAAUUGUCAGAGGUGAAAUUCUUGGAUUUAUGGAAGACGAACUACUGCGAAAGCAUUUACCAAGGAUGUUUUCAUUA
rnacentral:rRNA from 1 species